GCGUCUAUAACAACAAAGAACUAAGCCCCUCAAAACAAUAAAUCAAUUCAAAAUGAUGCAUCAAAUAACGAUGAAGUUGUCACCCUUUGAAACAUUUUAAAAAACAAGACAAGACUGCGUUAACUGCAUUUGAAUCUUGCAAAACAGUAGAAUUUUCCCUAUUUCAUUUUGCCGGGAACCACUGUCAGCAGCUGUUGCAUCUCCCGAAUCUUUUUCCUCUACAAAAACACCUUUUCACCUAUAACACUAUCCUUAAAAAGUCAGAAUAUGAGAAAUGAAAGAAAAUAUCGAACAUUUUGGAAACAAAUGGAAUAAGUCAAGAAACAUUUAGUACUAAAACGCAGACCUCACAUAAAACACGAAUAAGAAAAAAUAAAAUAUAAUAGAAUCAUAACUGUUUCCUGGUCAGCCUGCACAUUGCAGAUUUGAAAGAAAUAAUACCCGUUUUUUGAACCUAUCGAAUGAUUUACUGCACAAAACUGCAUAGAAAGCCAAAAAUACUUCAGGCUCCAUGAAAAAACAGUUGCGCGUACCUCCAGGAUAUGCUAACAAAGUGUUACGUUUACAUCUGGAGUAUCUUAACGACCUGUUACGCGUACCUUUAGCGCACGUAUAGCAAAAUGAAC
rnacentral:lncRNA from 1 species